UCGAGGGGCAGCGAGUAGAUUGCUUGCAAUCUACGUCGGCGACCGGCGCACGGGUGCGUAACGCGUAUGCAACCUACCCAUUACAGGGGGAUAACACUGAGAAAUCGGUACUAAUACCCCAUAACAUCCAGGGAGGCAUCUUCUUGGGUUGAAAACUCCGGUGGUAAUGGAUGGGCAUGCGUUGUAUUAGUUAGUUGGUGGGGUAACGGCUCACCAAGACGACGAUACAUAGGGGGACUGAGAGGUUAACCCCCCACAUUGGUACUGAGACACGGACCAAACUCCUACGGGAGGCAGCAGUGAGGAAUAUUGGUCAAUGGACGCAAGUCUGAACCAGCCAUGCCGCGUGCAGGAAGACGGCUCUAUGAGUUGUAAACUGCUUUUGUACGAGGGUAAACGCAGAUACGUGUAUCUGUCUGAAAGUAUCGUACGAAUAAGGAUCGGCUAACUCCGUGCCAGCAGCCGCGGUAAUACGGAGGAUUCAAGCGUUAUCCGGAUUUAUUGGGUUUAAAGGGUGCGUAGGCGGUCGGAUAAGUUAGAGGUGAAAUCCCGGGGCUCAACUUCGGAAUUGCCUCUGAUACUGUUCGGCUAGAGAGUAGUUGCGGUAGGCGGAAUGUAUGGUGUAGCGGUGAAAUGCUUAGAGAUCAUACAGAACACCGAUUGCGAAGGCAGCUUACCAAGCUACUUCUGACGUUGAGGCACGAAAGCGUGGGGAGCAAACAGGAUUAGAUACCCUGGUAGUCCA
rnacentral:rRNA from 1 species